UACAGAGGGGGCAAGCGUUGUUCGGAAUUACUGGGCGUAAAGGGCGCGUAGGCGGCCCGCUAAGUCGAACGUGAAAUCCCUGGGCUCAACCCAGGAACUGCGUCCGAUACUGGCAGGCUUGAAUCCGGGAGAGGGAUGCGGAAUUCCAGGUGUAGCGGUGAAAUGCGUAGAUAUCUGGAGGAAUACCGGUGGCGAAGGCGGCAUCCUGGACCGAGAUUGACACUGAUGAGCGAAAGCCAGGGGAGCAAACGGG
rnacentral:rRNA from 1 species